GCCUGGGAUGUGCGCAAGGCUUAGUAAUGUCUAACCUACAUUUUUAUAAGGGAACCUGAUUUGAUUUCUGAGGAUGUAUACUCGUUUCAAGGCGAAAAACAAAGCCAGGACUUAGGGUACCCACCUGCGAGUUCGCAGGUCUAGGCAUAUAAGACGAACGGCAUUCUGGA
rnacentral:other from 1 species